AUAUCCCUCCCCUCUACGUUCACUUACUUUUCCGACGUAAAAUCCGUCAUCCGCUAAUCACUGAAUCAAUUACGGAUGACUUGCCAAACAAACUCCAUCUCGAACCAAGAAAAAUCGAGAUUCGGUCACGCGUUUUCAAGCUGUCUUAGUUUCCUAUUUUGAGUUCAAUCAUCGGCCUAAAUUAGACGAGAUUCCUAAGCGAUAAACUGCGUCUGGAGACCUAUAAGUAGAGGUGGUGCUUACUCGUUACGAACACGCCUCUCACCUUUCUGUUCCUCACCCCAAAUCGGCCCCUUUUGUCAAGUUCCGCCGCCGCCGCAAGUACUCCGACGAAACCAGUAACCAUCGAACUGAUUGAGGAUUUGCAACAUUUAUUCCUCUCGUGCGGGUUACUUACGGCCUUCCUAUCGCAAUUAAGGUUACAAGAAAAUCAAGGAAGACUUGGAAAAGGGCUAGGGAGAAUAAAAGACUCACAGGAAUUUUCAUAAAAAUUUACCAUGACUUGUGUUUUUUUAUUGAAAUAAGAGUGAAUUGCAAGUUUUGUCCUUUAUCUUUAGGCCAUUUUGCAAGUUUUGUCCUUUAUGUUUAAAUUUGAUGAGUUUUGUCCUUUAUGUUUGAA